UACGUAGGGGGCAAGCGUUGUCCGGAAUCAUUGGGCGUAAAGAGCGUGUAGGCGGCCAGAAAAGUCCGCUGUGAAAACUCGAGGCUCAACUUCGAGCUGUCGGUGGAAACUUUCUGGCUAGAGUCCGGAAGAGGAGAAUGGAAUUCCUGGUGUAGCGGUGAAAUGCGCAGAUAUCAGGAAGAACACCCGUGGCGAAGGCGGGUCUCUGGGCAUCUCCUGACGCUGAGGCGCGAAAGCGUGGGGAGCAAACGGG
rnacentral:rRNA from 1 species